rnacentral:rRNA from 1 species
AGAGUUUGAUCCUGGCUCAGAUUGAACGCUGGCGGCAUGCCUUACACAUGCAAGUCGAACGGCAGCACGGGAGCAAUCCUGGUGGCGAGUGGCGAACGGGUGAGUAAUAUAUCGGAACGUGCCCAGUAAUGGGGGAUAGCCCGGCGAAAGCCGGAUUAAUACCGCAUACGACCUACGGGUGAAAGCGGGGGAUCGCAAGACCUCGCGUUAUUGGAGCGGCCGAUAUCAGAUUAGCUUGUUGGUGGGGUAAAAGCCCACCAAGGCGACGAUCUGUAGCUGGUCUGAGAGGACGACCAGCCACACUGGGACUGAGACACGGCCCAGACUCCUACGGGAGGCAGCAGUGGGGAAUUUUGGACAAUGGGCGCAAGCCUGAUCCAGCCAUGCCGCGUGUGGGAAGAAGGCCUUCGGGUUGUAAACCACUUUUGUCAGGGAAGAAACGGUCCGAUCUAAUACAUUGGACUAAUGACGGUACCUGAAGAAUAAGCACCGGCUAACUACGUGCCAGCAGCCGCGGUAAUACGUAGGGUGCAAGCGUUAAUCGGAAUUACUGGGCGUAAAGCGUGCGCAGGCGGCUUUGCAAGACAGAUGUGAAAUCCCCGGGCUCAACCUGGGAACUGCAUUUGUGACUGCAUGGCUAGAGUACGGUAGAGGGGGAUGGAAUUCCGCGUGUAGCAGUGAAAUGCGUAGAUAUGCGGAGGAGCACCGAUGGCGAAGGCAAUCCCCUGGACCUGUACUGACGCUCAUGCACGAAAGCGUGGGGAGCAAACAGGAUUAGAUACCCUGGUAGUCCACGCCCUAAACGAUGUCAACUGGUUGUUGGACGGCUUGCUGUUCAGUAACGAAGCUAACGCGUGAAGUUGACCGCCUGGGGAGUACGGCCGCAAGGUUGAAACUCGAAGGAAUUGACGGGGACCCGCACAAGCGGUGGAUGAUGUGGUUUAAUUCGAUGCAACGCGAAAAACCUUACCUACCCUCGACAUGUCUAGAAGUUUCCAGAGAUGGAUUCGUGCUCGAAAGAGAACUAGAACACAGGUGCUGCAUGGCCGUCGUCAGCUCGUGUCGUGAGAUGUUGGGUUAAGUCCCGCAACGAGCGCAACCCUUAUCAUUAGUUGCUACGCAAGGGCACUCUAAUGAGACUGCCGGUGACAAACCGGAGGAAGGUGGGGAUGACGUCAGGUCAUCAUGGCCCUUAUGGGUAGGGCUACACACGUCAUACAAUGGCCGGUACAGAGGGCUGCCAACCCGCGAGGGGGAGCUAAUCUCAGAAAACCGGUCGUAGUCCGGAUCGCAGUCUGCAACUCGACUGCGUGAAGUCGGAAUCGCUAGUAAUCGCGGAUCAGCUUGCCGCGGUGAAUACGUUCCCGGGUCUUGUACACACCGCCCGUCACACCAUGGGAGCGGGUUCUGCCAGAAGUAGUUAGCCUAACCGCAAGGAGGGCGAUUACCACGGCAGGGUUCGUGACUGGGGUGAAGUCGUAACAAGGUA